CGUCCUGGUGGGAAUUCCGAAAAGACUUUUUGGGUCGCCCUAAUCGAAAAAAGGCUCUGGCAUGCGUGCAUUAAAUGCCAAGAUUACCGAGGGCGGUCGUGGGCAGAAUUCAAGGAAACAACUUCGGUUGUGAAAAUUUUCUGUACUUCCUCCGAUCGAAACUCGAACUCGGAAGUAGGGGGAUUGGUGUUGGGUGUAAAACCUCCCCCAG
rnacentral:lncRNA from 1 species